UACGAAGGGGGCUAGCGUUGCUCGGAAUCACUGGGCGUAAAGGGUGCGUAGGCGGGUCUUUAAGUCAGGGGUGAAAUCCUGGAGCUCAACUCCAGAACUGCCUUUGAUACUGAGGAUCUUGAGUACGGGAGAGGUGAGUGGAAUUCCCAGUGUAGCGGUGAAAUGCGUAGAUAUUGGGAGGAACACCAGUGGCGAAGGCGGCUCGCUGGACCGGUUCUGACGCUGAGGCGCGAAAGCGUGGGGAGCAAACAGG
rnacentral:rRNA from 1 species